UCUCAUCUUAUAGAUGAAGAGGAACUAGCUAAUGGGGCCACUUUCUCAGAAUUGAAUUCAAUUAAAUGAAAAUAUUUAUGUAUUGAACACUUCCUUGCUCCACAUACUUUAUAUAAAGAGCUCACUGAGUAGUGUGGGAGGCAGACCAUUAAACUAAUAAUCUCCACACAAUAGGAUAGAUGAAUUAAAAGAAGGGCAAGCUUUGGAUAACAGCAGUACAAAGGCAAGAGUGAACUGUGUCUGGGGAAAAUAUCACCAGCUGGACUUUGUAGAUAAAUGAAAGCCCACUAAGGCAACUUAAAGGUAGAAGGAAUUCUAGGCAGAAGGAAGCAGCAUUAUACAAAGUCAUGAAGAUAUGGACUAACAAGGCCUGCUGUCUCCAUUUCACUUACUGGUUCUAACUUUUUUUAAAAGGUUAAAAUUAAAGUUAGCCUAAUUGUUAUCCUUUUUAAAAAGUGUUAUUUGUCUUGUUUGUUUUCAAAGCAGUAUAUGUUUGUUUUAAAUGUUAAAAUUACAUAGAAAUGUAGGCCCCUGAAAGGAAGAGUCCUCCACAGUUCUGUCCUUCAGAGCUAUAGUGUUAUCUGCCUGGUGUAUAUGUGUCUGGAUCUUUUUUUCUUACAUAGGUAACCAACUAGACUCACUUCUCUUGCAACUUGUUGUGUAUUUUAUAGUCUGUCCUCAUUGUUUGGCUCUUUCACUCCAAUAUCCGGGUUGAGUAACAAGGCAGCAUAGUAAGGAAACACAGAAGCACUGGAGUUAGAUGAAUUCCAGCUGUCCAACUCCUACCUGUGUGGCCUUAGAGAGGUCAUGCCGGGAAGGCGACUGCUGAACACAGACUGGGAAAGAAAGCAGGAAGACGAGGAUCUGAAUGAUCGGACAGUAGGUCAGCUGAAGGCCUGUACUGGAAAGAAGCCAGAGAAUGAGUGCAAGCCAAGAACAGAUGACCAGAGACAAGCCUGAAGAGAACAAAUUUUAAAAGAUGUCUUGGGCAUCUUUGUUUAGAAAAAAAUAUAUAGAAUACCUUCUUUGAGAUGCUUCACUAUAUAGAAUUCUCAUCAACCUAUAGAUACAAGCAAGGUGAUGUUAAUACCAAUUCCAAAACUAUAAGGCUCUUCACCUUCUUGCUCAUACAGGAACUCAACUUCCUCUUCCCAGUCUCGCUGGGCCAUUUCUGGGAGUCAGGGGUUGUUGAUUCUCAUCUGCUCAAGGACAAACUUAUUCAAGUUGGUCUCCUCUGGCCUCCUUGCCAAGGUGCCUCGCCAGCCACAGCCUCUGGGGCUGCAGCCACCUUGGAGAACCUGCUCUGCUACUUCCCCACCACCCCCUCCACCCUCUGCAGGGGAGGGGUGUGUAUGUAUAGGAUGGGGUGUGGGGUCAGAAAGGAGAACCACCCUGUUUCCAAAUCAAUAUCUAAAGUCUGUCAUGAACUCAACUCCCCGUAUUUCUCUUCCUGACCUCAACCUCUGCUGAAGUUCCAAACAGGUCCCCUGAGGUUGAAUUGAAGAAAAGGAAAGGUUGACAUAUUUCAGUCCUCCCUUUCAGUAUCCUAUCAACUUUUAUCUCUCUGGUCACUGAAGAACAAAUAUUGACUAUGUAGUGUAUUGAAUGUAAAAUGCAGCUCUUUGCCCGUUUCUGUGUCUGUGCCCUUUGUAGUGAGACACUCGGCUCCUCCCACUAAGGACUGGAAUCUUCCCUACCUCCUUGAAUUGGGGCUGGCCUGUGACUGGCCUUGGUCAGCUGAACGGAGCCAAAGUGAUGGUGUGUCCAUUCCAAGCCUGCACCUUGAGAGGCCUGAGCACUUCCACUCACUCUUGGCUCCUCAACAUACCCUAGAACAGUCUGGCUUAGGCUUCAGGUUGAGAAAAACUCACCUCGGCUCCCAGCCAGUCACCCGCCCAGCAGAGCCCAGAAGAACUGCCCUGCCAAGAUCAACAGAUGUUUGGAGAUGACCUGCUUUUGCAUGAGUGGGCCCAAGGAGAACCAAAGAACCACUCAACUAAACCACACAUUUGUGGACUAAAUAAAGUCAUUUGAAACCACUGGA